rnacentral:rRNA from 1 species
UACGUAGGUGGCAAGCGUUGUCCGGAAUUAUUGGGCGUAAAGCGCGCGCAGGCGGCCUCUUAAGUCUGAUGUGAAAUCUUGCGGCUCAACCGCAAGCGGCCAUUGGAAACUGAGGGGCUUGAGUACAGAAGAGGAGAGUGGAAUUCCACGUGUAGCGGUGAAAUGCGUAGAUAUGUGGAGGAACACCAGUGGCGAAGGCGACUCUCUGGUCUGUAACUGACGCUGAGGCGCGAAAGCGUGGGGAGCAAACAGG